rnacentral:rRNA from 1 species
CCUACGGGAGGCAGCAGUCGAGAAUCAUUCACAAUGGGGGAAGCCCUGAUGGGGCGACGCCGCGUGGGGGAAUGAAGGUCUCCGGAUUGUAAACCCCUGUCAUGUGGGAGCAAAUUAAAAAGAUAGUACCACAAGAGGAAGCGACGGCUAACUCUGUGCCAGCAGCCGCGGUAAUACAGAGGUCUCAAGCGUUGUUCGGAAUCACUGGGCGUAAAGCGUGCGUAGGCUGUUUCGUAAGUCGUGUGUGAAAGGCGCGGGCUCAACCCGCGGACGGCAGAUGAUACUGCGAGACUAGAGUAAUGGAGGGGGAAGCGGAAGUCGCGGUGUAGCAGUGAAAUGCGUAGAUAUCGAGAGGAACACUCGUGGCGAAGGCGGGUUCCUGGACCUUAACUGACGCUGAGGCACGAAGGCCAGGGGAGCGAAAGGGAUUAGAUACCCCAGUAGUC